rnacentral:rRNA from 2 species
GGGUUGUGAGGUUAAGCGACUAAGCGUACACGGUGGAUGCCCUGGCAGUCAGAGGCGAUGAAGGACGUGCUAAUCUGCGAAAAGCGCCGGCGAGGUGAUAUGAACCUUUGACCCGGCGAUGUCCGAAUGGGGAAACCCAGUGUGAUUCGUCACACUAUCGUUAACUGAAUACAUAGGUUAACGAGGCGAACCGGGGGAACUGAAACAUCUAAGUACCCCGAGGAAAAGAAAUCAACCGAGAUUCCCCCAGUAGCGGCGAGCGAACGGGGAGCAGCCCAGAGUCUGAAUCAGCUUGUGUGUUAGUGGAAGCGUCUGGAAAGUCGCACGGUACAGGGUGACAGUCCCGUACACGAAAGCACACAGGUUGUGAACUCGAAGAGUAGGGCGGGACACGUGGUAUCCUGUCUGAAUAUGGGGGGACCAUCCUCCAAGGCUAAAUACUCCUGACUGACCGAUAGUGAACCAGUACCGUGAGGGAAAGGCGAAAAGAACCCCGGCGAGGGGAGUGAAAAAGAACCUGAAACCGUGUACGUACAAGCAGUGGGAGCACCUUCGUGGUGUGACUGCGUACCUUUUGUAUAAUGGGUCAGCGACUUAUAUUCUGUAGCAAGGUUAACCGUAUAGGGGAGCCGAAGGGAAACCGAGUCUUAACUGGGCGUUAAGUUGCAGGGUAUAGACCCGAAACCCGGUGAUCUAGCCAUGGGCAGGUUGAAGGUUGGGUAACACUAACUGGAGGACCGAACCGACUAAUGUUGAAAAAUUAGCGGAUGACUUGUGGCUGGGGGUGAAAGGCCAAUCAAACCGGGAGAUAGCUGGUUCUCCCCGAAAGCUAUUUAGGUAGCGCCUCGUGAACUCAUCUUCGGGGGUAGAGCACUGUUUCGGCUAGGGGGCCAUCCCGGCUUACCAACCCGAUGCAAACUACGAAUACCGAAGAAUGUUAUCACGGGAGACACACGGCGGGUGCUAACGUCCGUCGUGAAGAGGGAAACAACCCAGACCGCCAGCUAAGGUCCCAAAGUCAUGGUUAAGUGGGAAACGAUGUGGGAAGGCACAGACAGCCAGGAUGUUGGCUUAGAAGCAGCCAUCAUUUAAAGAAAGCGUAAUAGCUCACUGGUCGAGUCGGCCUGCGCGGAAGAUGUAACGGGGCUAAACCAUGCACCGAAGCUGCGGCAGCGACACUUAUGUGUUGUUGGGUAGGGGAGCGUUCUGUAAGCCGUUGAAGGUGUGCUGUGAGGCAUGCUGGAGGUAUCAGAAGUGCGAAUGCUGACAUAAGUAACGAUAAAGCGGGUGAAAAGCCCGCUCGCCGGAAGACCAAGGGUUCCUGUCCAACGUUAAUCGGGGCAGGGUGAGUCGACCCCUAAGGCGAGGCCGAAAGGCGUAGUCGAUGGGAAACAGGUUAAUAUUCCUGUACUUGGUGUUACUGCGAAGGGGGGACGGAGAAGGCUAUGUUAGCCGGGCGACGGUUGUCCCGGUUUAAGCAUGUAGGCGGAGGUUCCAGGUAAAUCCGGUACCUUUUAACGCUGAGGUGUGAUGACGAGGCACUACGGUGCUGAAGUAACAAAUGCCCUGCUUCCAGGAAAAGCCUCUAAGCAUCAGGUAACAUCAAAUCGUACCCCAAACCGACACAGGUGGUCAGGUAGAGAAUACCAAGGCGCUUGAGAGAACUCGGGUGAAGGAACUAGGCAAAAUGGUGCCGUAACUUCGGGAGAAGGCACGCUGAUAUGUAGGUGAAGCCCCUGCGGGUGGAGCUGAAAUCAGUCGAAGAUACCAGCUGGCUGCAACUGUUUAUUAAAAACACAGCACUGUGCAAACACGAAAGUGGACGUAUACGGUGUGACGCCUGCCCGGUGCCGGAAGGUUAAUUGAUGGGGUUAGCGGCAACGCGAAGCUCUUGAUCGAAGCCCCGGUAAACGGCGGCCGUAACUAUAACGGUCCUAAGGUAGCGAAAUUCCUUGUCGGGUAAGUUCCGACCUGCACGAAUGGCGUAAUGAUGGCCAGGCUGUCUCCACCCGAGACUCAGUGAAAUUGAACUCGCUGUGAAGAUGCAGUGUACCCGCGGCAAGACGGAAAGACCCCGUGAACCUUUACUAUAGCUUGACACUGAACACUGGUCCUUGAUGUGUAGGAUAGGUGGGAGGCUUUGAAGUGUGGACGCCAGUCUGCAUGGAGCCGUCCUUGAAAUACCACCCUUUAAUGGCUGGUGUUCUAACGUAGACCCGUGAUCCGGGUUGCGGACAGUGUCUGGUGGGUAGUUUGACUGGGGCGGUCUCCUCCCAAAGAGUAACGGAGGAGCACGAAGGUUAGCUAAUCCUGGUCGGACAUCAGGAGGUUAGUGCAAUGGCAUAAGCUAGCUUGACUGCGAGAGUGACGGCUCGAGCAGGUGCGAAAGCAGGUCAUAGUGAUCCGGUGGUUCUGAAUGGAAGGGCCAUCGCUCAACGGAUAAAAGGUACUCCGGGGAUAACAGGCUGAUACCGCCCAAGAGUUCAUAUCGACGGCGGUGUUUGGCACCUCGAUGUCGGCUCAUCACAUCCUGGGGCUGAAGUAGGUCCCAAGGGUAUGGCUGUUCGCCAUUUAAAGUGGUACGCGAGCUGGGUUUAGAACGUCGUGAGACAGUUCGGUCCCUAUCUGCCGUGGGCGCUGGAGAAUUGAGGGGGGCUGCUCCUAGUACGAGAGGACCGGAGUGGACGCAUCACUGGUGUUCGGGUUGUCAUGCCAAUGGCACUGCCCGGUAGCUAAAUGCGGAAAAGAUAAGUGCUGAAAGCAUCUAAGCACGAAACUUGCCCCGAGAUGAGUUCUCCCUGAGACUUUAAGUCUCCUGAAGGAACGUUGAAGACGACGACGUUGAUAGGUCGGGUGUGUAAGCGCAGCGAUGCGUUGAGCUAACCGAUACUAAUGAACCGUGAGGCUUAACCUUACAACGCCGAAG